AUUUUGUUAUGUCCAAUAGCAUUCUGAACGUCAAGUUUGAAAUCAUUAAUUUACUCAGUUCGCUCUUUUAUGGAAUAAGAAGGUAAAUUAACUGGAUGAGAUUUAAUUUAAAAUUAAAUAAUGGAUGUUAUGCAAAGUCUGUACUUGAAGCAUCUUGGGCACUGAAAUUCACGUCUAACAAAUGGGUUUAUUCAAGCAGUUAAUGAUAAGGAAGUGGAGCAAAUAUGCGUAUCACUCAUGCGUUAAAAAAAUGGUGAAGACCCCCUAAUAAUGUACUUACGGUUCGCAGUACCUAUAAAUGUCAAAAACAAUCGUUCUCAAACAAAUUACGCCCUGUAGGUGGUAAAUUGAGCCUACAGGUACGGAUUAGAUUAAGAAAUCGAACAACAAACAUCCUUAUGGUGCUAAUUUGUAUAGAAUAACAAUUUACAAAUUAAGAAGUAGUGUUUAUUGAUUCCAUUUUUAAUGGAAGCUCAUUGUGAUUAAUUUACGAGUCUAAAAACUUAUUACCAAUUUUGUAAAA